rnacentral:rRNA from 1 species
GAAUGACUCUCGGCAACGGAUAUCUAGGCUCUUGCAUCGAUGAAGAACGUAGCGAAAUGCGAUACUUGGUGUGAAUUGCAGAAUCCCGUGAACCAUCGAGUCUUUGAACGCAAGUUGCGCCCGAAGCCAUUAGGCCGAGGGCACGUCUGCCUGGGUGUCACAG